rnacentral:rRNA from 1 species
CAUUCUAACGGCGCAGAAGUCAUCUGGUAAUGGAUGGUGGAGCUUUUAGAAAAGAAAAUGUAGGCAUGAGUAACGAUAAAAUAAGUGAGAAACUUAUUCGCCGUAAGACUAAGGCUUCCUCAGCUAUGCUAAUCAGCUGAGGGUUAGUCGGGACCUAACACGAACCCUAACGGGGUAGUGGAUGGCAAACGGGUUAAUAUUCCCGUACCUGCACUCAAUAAAAGUGACGAAUGAUUGUAGGAGGUGCGUACUGACGGAAUAGUACGUUGAACCUACGUAAAGUAGGGAUAGUACACGAAGACUUCGGUUAGAGUG